rnacentral:rRNA from 1 species
GACGAACGCUGGCGGCGUGCUUAACACAUGCAAGUCGAACGGUGAAAGCGGAGCUUGCUCCGCUGGAUCAGUGGCGAACGGGUGAGUAACACGUGGGCAACCUGCCCCUCACUUCGGGAUAGCUCCGGGAAACCGGGGCUAAUACCGGAUAUGACCUCCUUGGGCAUCCUUGGAGGUGGAAAGUUUUUCGGUGAGGGAUGGGCCCGCGGCCUAUCAGCUUGUUGGUGAGGUAGUGGCUUACCAAGGCGACGACGGGUAGCCGGCCUGAGAGGGCGACCGGCCACACUGGGGCUGAGACACGGCCCAGACUCCUACGGGAGGCAGCAGUGGGGAAUAUUGCGCAAUGGGCGAAAGCCUGACGCAGCAACGCCGCGUGCGGGAUGACGGCCUUCGGGUUGUAAACCGCUUUCAGCAGGGAAGAAGCCGCAAGGUGACGGUACCUGCAGAAGAAGCACCGGCUAACUACGUGCCAGCCGCCGCGGUAA